UACGAAGGGGGGCUAGCGUUGUUCGGAAUCACUGGGCGUAAAGGGCGCGUAGGCGGCUUUAUAAGUCGGGGGGUGAAAGCCUGUGGCUCAACCACAGAAUUGCCUUCGAUACUGUAGAGCUUGAGACCGGAAGAGGUAAGUGGAACUGCGAGUGUAGAGGUGAAAUUCGUAGAUAUUCGCAAGAACACCAGUGGCGAAGGCGGCUUACUGGUCCGGUUCUGACGCUGAGGCGCGAAAGCGUGGGGAGCAAACAGG
rnacentral:rRNA from 1 species